GAUGAACGCUGGCGGCGUGCUUAACACAUGCAAGUCGAACGGUGAAGGCGGAGCUUGCUCUGCUGGAUCAGUGGCGAACGGGUGAGUAACACGUGAGCAAUCUGCCCCUGACUCUGGGAUAAGCGCUGGAAACGGCGUCUAAUACUGGAUACGAGCUGCGAAGGCAUCUUCAGCAGCUGGAAAGAACUUCGGUCAGGGAUGAGCUCGCGGCCUAUCAGCUUGUUGGUGAGGUAACGGCUCACCAAGGCGUCGACGGGUAGCCGGCCUGAGAGGGUGACCGGCCCCAAGGGGACGGAACAACGGCCCAAAACCCCAGGGGGGGCAGCGGGGGGGAAUUUUCCCAAAGGGGCGAAAGCCUGAUGCAGCAACGCCGGGUGGGGGAACACGGCCUUCGGGUGUAAAACUUCUUUUAGAAGGAAAGAAGCGAAGGGGACGGUACCUGCAAAAAAAGCCCCGGCUGACUCCGG
rnacentral:rRNA from 1 species